CCUACGGGAGGCAGCAGUGGGGAAUAUUGCACAAUGGGGGAAACCCUGAUGCAGCGACGCCGCGUGAGUGAAGAAGUAUUUCGGUAUGUAAAGCUCUAUCAGCAGGGAAGAAAAUGACGGUACCUGUUUAAGAAGCCCCGGCUAACUACGUGCCAGCAGCCGCGGUAAUACGUAGGGGGCAAGCGUUAUCCGGAUUUACUGGGUGUAAAGGGAGCGUAGACGGCAGCACAAGUCUGGAGUGAAAUGCCGGGGCUUAACCCCGGAACUGCUUUGGAAACUGUGCAGCUAGAGUGCAGGAGAGGUAAGUGGAAUUCCCGGUGUAGCGGUGAAAUGCGUAGAUAUUGGGAGGAACACCAGUGGCGAAGGCGGCUUACUGGACUGUAACUGACGUUGAGGCACGAAAGCGUGGGGAGCAAACAGGAUUAGAUACCCUUGUAGUC
rnacentral:rRNA from 1 species